rnacentral:snRNA from 1 species
GUGCUCACUUCAGCAGCACAUACACUAAAUUUGGAAUGAUACAGAGAAGAUCAGCAUAGCCCCUGUGCAAGAAUGGCUUGUACAUUUGUGAAGUGUUCUGUAUUUUU